rnacentral:rRNA from 1 species
AAACUAGAUACAAGCGAGCGGCGGACGGGUGAGUAACACGUGGGAUAACCUGCCCAAGAGACUGGGAUAACACCUGGAAACAGAUGCUAAUACCGGAUAACAACACUAGACGCAUGUCUAGAGUUUGAAAGAUGGUUCUGCUAUCACUCUUGGAUGGACCUGCGGUGCAUUAGCUAGUUGGUAAGGUAACGGCUUACCAAGGCAAUGAUGCAUAGCCGAGUUGAGAGACUGAUCGGCCACAUUGGGACUGAGACACGGCCCAAACUCCUACGGGAGGCAGCAGUAGGGAAUCUUCCACAAUGGACGAAAGUCUGAUGGAGCAACGCCGCGUGAGUGAAGAAGGGUUUCGGCUCGUAAAGCUCUGUUGGUAGUGAAGAAAGAUAGAGGUAGUAACUGGCCUUUAUUUGACGGUAAUUACUUAGAAAGUCACGGCUAACUACGUGCCAGCAGCCGCGGUAAUACGUAGGUGGCAAGCGUUGUCCGGAUUUAUUGGGCGUAAAGCGAGUGCAGGCGGUUCAAUAAGUCUGAUGUGAAAGCCUUCGGCUCAACCGGAGAAUUGCAUCAAAACUGUUGAACUUGAGUGCAGAAGAGGAGAGUGGAACUCCAUGUGUAGCGGUGGAAUGCGUAGAUAUAUGGAAGAACACCAGUGGCGAAGGCGGCUCUCUGGUCUGCAACUGACGCUGAAGCUCGAAAAGCAUGGGU